ensembl:lncRNA
ACACAGUAAGUCAACCAACCACAGCCCAGCACCACCCCUCCUCCAGGAAACACAGUAGGUCAACCACCCACAGCCCAGCACCACCCCUCCUCCAGGAAACACAGUAGGUCAACCACCCACAGCCCAGCACCACCCCUCCUCCAGGAAACACAGUAGGUCAACCACCCACAGCCCAGCACCACCCCUCCUCCAGGAAACACAGUAGGUCAACCACCCACAGCCCAGCACCACCCCUCCUCCAGGAAACACAGUAGGUCAACCACCCACAGCCCAGCACCACCCCUCCUCCAGGAAACACAGUAGGUCAACCACCCACAGCCCAGCACCACCCCCUCCUCCAGGAAACACAGUAGGUCAACCACCCACAGCCCAGCACCACCCCUCCUCCAGGAAACACAGUAGGUCAACCACCCACAGCCCAGCACCACCCCUCCUCCAGGAAACACAGUAGGUUAACCACCCACAGCCCAGCACCACCCCCUCCUCCAGGAAACACAGUAGGUCAACCACCCACAGCCCAGCACCACCCCUCCUCCAGGAAACACAGUAGGUCAACCACCCACAGUCCAGCACCACCCCCUCCUCCAGGAAACACAGUAGGUCAACCACCCACAGCCCAGCACCACCCCUCCUCCAGGAAACACAGUCCGACACGGGCCCCCCCUCCUGAUGACUUGGUGCGGUCCAGGGCCCCCCCUCCCAGGGCCCCCCCUCCUGAUGACAUGGUGCGGUCCAGGGCCCCCCCUCCAGAAGGAGUGGUCCAGUCCAGCGUGUCUGACUCAGAAAGCCCCUCCCACAACAUCAAGGAUAUGAUCAAACAGUACCAACACCCACCUAACCCUGCACCCAGCCAGCCUGCACACACACACAGGUAACACCACACACACACACACACACACACACACACACACACACACACACACACACACACACACACACACACACACACACACAACACACACACACACACACACAACACACACACACACACACACACACACACACACACACAGUAACACACACACACACACACACACACACACAGGUAACACACACACACACACAACACACACACACACACACACACACACACACACAGGUAACACACACACACACACACAGGUAACACACACACACACACACACACAGGUAACACACACACACACACAGGUAACACACACACACACACACACACACACACAGGUAACACACACACACAGGUAACACACACACACACACACACACACACACACACACACACACACACAGGUAACACACACGCACACACACACACACACACACACACACACACACACACACACACACACACACACACACACACACACACACAGGUAACACACACACACACACACACACAGGUAACACACACACACUCACAGGUACCACAGUAAAUGUUAAAAACCUGAUGUGGAUAGGGGGCAGUAUUUUCACGGCCGGAUAAAAAAAUAUACCCUAUUUAAACUGGUUACUACUCUUGCCCAGAAACGAGAAUAUGCAUAUAAUUAGUAGGUUUGGAUAGAAAACACUCUGAAGUAUCUAAAACUGUUUGAAUGGUGUCUGUGAGUAUAACAGAACUCAUAUGGCAGGCAAAAAACCUGAGAAAUAUCCAACCAGGAAGUUUGACCUCACAUGGUUGUAGUCAUUUCAAAUGAUGUUCUGUCUAAACUACAGUGUCUGUGA